UGGAAAUUGCAGAACAGAAAGUCGACCCAAAAAUGAAACAAAAUAAACUCUCAACCUACGUGCCUGGGAAUUUGGUUACUCAGGUCUACAAUUGAAGGCGUGUGUAGCCAUCGAAUCCAGUGAAGCCUUCUGCCAGCAGGGUCAUCUGAUUCUGCCUCAGUUUUCUUCCAUGUGACACUGAAGAACAUUGCAAAAUUAGGUAAAAAUUCUAAGUUGCCCUUCAAAUAAAUAUUU
rnacentral:lncRNA from 1 species